UACCCGCUGAACUUAAGCAUAUCAAUAAGCGGAGGAAAAGAAACUAACUAGGAUUCCCUUAGUAACGGCGAGUGAACCGGGAUGAGCUCAAAUUUGAAAUCUGGCGUCUUUCAGGCGUCCGAGUUGUAAUCUAUAGAGGCGUUUUCCGCGCCGGACCGCGUCCAAGUCUCUUGGAAUAGAGUAUCAAAGAGGGUGACAAUCCCGUACUUGACGCGACAACCGGUGCUCUGUGAUACGUUCUCAAUGAGUCGAGUUGUUUGGGAAUGCAGCUCUAAAUGGGUGGUAAAUUCCAUCUAAGGCUAAAUAUUGGCGAGAGACCGAUAGCGAACAAGUACCGUGAGGGAAAGAUGAAAAGCACUUUGGAAAGAGAGUUAAACAGCACGUGAAAUUGUUAAAAGGGAAACGAUUGAAGUCAGUCGUGUGGGAAGUAUUCAGCCGUCUCUGGCGGUGUAUUUGCUUCUCACGGGUCAACAUCAGUUUGAUCCGGUAGAAAAAGGCGGGAAGAAGGUGGCACCCUCGGGUGUGUUAUAGCUUCCUGUCAUAUGUGCCGGACCAGACUGAGGAACGCAGCUUGCAGCAAUGCCGGGGUUCGCCCACGUACAAG
rnacentral:rRNA from 1 species